GAUGAACGCUAGCGGCAGGCCUAAUACAUGCAAGUCGAACGAUACUUUCCAGCUUGCUGGAGAGGAAAGUGGCGCACGGGUGCGUAACGCGUAUGCAACCUACCUUCAUCAGGGGGAUAGCCCGGAGAAAUCCGGAUUAAUACCGCAUAAAAUCACAGGAUGGCAUUAUCCAAUGAUCAACCAUUUAUGGGAUGGAGAUGGGCAUGCGUGUCAUUAGCUAGUUGGCGGGGUAACGGCCCACCAAGGCGACGAUGACUAGGGGAUCUGCGAGGAUGGCCCCCCACACUGGUACUGAGACACGGACCAGACUCCUACGGGAGGCAGCAGUAAGGAAUAUUGGUCAAUGGAGGGAACUCUGAACCAGCCAUGCCGCGUGCAGGAAGACUGCCCUAUGGGUUGUAAACUGCUUUUAUCCGGGAAUAAACCUAAAUACGUGUAUUUAGCUGAAUGUACCGGAAGAAUAAGGAUCGGCUAACUCCGUGCCAGCCGCCGCGGUAAAAC
rnacentral:rRNA from 1 species